rnacentral:ncRNA from 1 species
ACAGAAGUGAAGCUCUAGGUUUGAUUUACACAAAUUUGGCAUUAUGAGACAAUCUAUCCGGUCCGGACACCAUUAGAACUGGCAGAUUGAAAGCUCUUUCUCGAUUUGGUGUUUGGUGGUGCAUGGCCGUUCUUAGUUGGUGGAGUGAUUUGUCUGGUUUAUUCCAAUAACGAGCGAGACUCUAGCCUGCUAAAUAGUUGGCGAAUCUUAGGGUUCGUAUAACUUCAUAGAGGGAUAAUCGGUGUUUAGCCGCACGAGAUUGAGCUGCACGCGUGCUACACUGGUGGAGUCAGCGGGUUAUUCCUAUGCCAAAAGGUAUCGGUAAACCAGCUCAUGUUGAUUACGUCCCUGCCCUUUGUA